ACCAGGCCACCUUUCGGCGUAACUUCGGCAGCGCAGCUAUCCUUCGCUCACCAGAAACAGCGGCACAGGUUUCCACUACCACUAUGGCGUCAACUGAGAUAGCAAGGCAAGCGGGGGAAGGUGCUCGUGCCGUCCCUCUGGCAGGCCAUGUCGGCUUUGACAGCAUGCCGGAUCAGCUGGUCAACAAGUCUGUCAACCAUGGGUUCUGCUUCAACAUCCUCUGUGUUGGCGAGACGGGUCUGGGGAAGUCCACUCUCAUGGACACGUUGUUCAACACCAAGUUUGAGGGCGAGCCCACCCAGCACAACCAGCCAGGAGUCACGCUCAAAUCCAACACCUAUGAGCUCCAGGAGAGUAACGUGCGCCUCAAACUCACUGUCGUCAACACCGUAGGCUUUGGAGACCAGAUCAACAAAGAAGACAGCUACAAGUCUAUUGUGGAGUUCAUUGACGCCCAGUUUGAGGCAUAUCUACAAGAGGAGCUGAAAAUAAAGCGCACGCUACACAGCUACCACGACACCCGCAUCCACGCAUGCCUGUAUUUCAUCGCUCCCACAGGACACUCGCUCAAAUCGCUGGACUUGGUGACCAUGAAGAAACUUGAUAGCAAGGUCAACAUCAUCCCAAUCGUUGCCAAGUCGGACGCCAUCUCCAAAAGCGAGCUUGCUAAGUUUAAAAUCAAAAUCACCAGUGAGCUGGUCAGCAACGGAGUGCAAAUCUACCAGUUCCCCACUGAUGACGAGUCUGUGGCAGAGAUCAACUCCACCAUGAACAGCCAUUUGCCGUUUGCUGUGGUGGGAAGCACGGAGGAGGUGAAGAUUGGGAACAAGAUGGUGAAGGCCCGGCAGUACCCCUGGGGAACAGUGCAGGUGGAAAAUGAGAAUCACUGUGACUUUGUCAAGCUUCGAGAAAUGUUGAUUAGAGUGAACAUGGAGGACCUGCGAGAGCAGACUCACACACGUCAUUAUGAGCUCUACCGCCGCUGCAAACUGGAGGAGAUGGGCUUCAAAGACACAGACCCUGACAGCAAGCCCUUCAGUCUUCAGGAGACAUACGAGGCUAAGAGGAACGAGUUCAUGGGGGAGCUGCAGAAGAAAGAAGAGGAAAUGAGGCAAAUGUUUGUCCAAAGAGUCAAAGAGAAGGAGGCCGAGCUCAAAGAGGCAGAGAAAGAGCUGCAUGAGAAGUUUGACCGUCUAAAGAAGCUCCACCAGGACGAGAAAAAGAAAGUGGAGGACAAGAAGAAGUCCCUGGACGACGAACUCAACAUGUUCAAACAGAAAAAGACUGCUGCAGAGCUCUUGCACAACCAAGCCCAGCAGGCAGGGGGCUCCACCACACUCAAGAGGGACAAAGAGAGGAAAAACUGAUGUGACGCCGUGCCUGUUAGAAAUGGAAGAAGACACUUGCACUGACAAGUUAACUCCUCCCACACUUGCUGCAUGCUGCAUGGGGCAUCUUUACUGCUUAGGAUUCCUGUAGAAAAGUGCUCCCUUGUGGCCAUCCUGCUGUGAAUGAGUUUCCACCCCAUCAUAUUUUUACAGUACCCCUUCCCCACCCUCACCCUCACCCAUCCUGCACAAUUCCACCCUCCACAUGCAAACUGCUUUCUGGAAAACACUGAGCAUUCCUAUCAGUUUGACCGUUUUUUCUGAAUGCUGGAUGCUUGUAUGUUAUAUGGUUUAUACUUUUUAUACGCAUUUACAGAGAGAGUAAUGCCUUUCAUGUUGAUUUUAUAGUAUUGAUAAAUUGCAUGACAGAGUGAGCUUUUUUGAAUAUUAACAUGGCCACUGUGGUGAUGGUCAGACAUGUAUUACGGGUGAAGUGAAACACGCAUCAGACAGUACAACCUCAGAAUUAAUAGUGGUAAAAAUCUGCAGAAGAUCACAGUAAAGAAAGAAUUAAGUAAAUUGAUGAUUGACGGGAGGAUGGAUUAAGUCGUCAUUUAGCCAAUCUCAGAAUAAAGCAAAGCAAUCACAAUGGUGAUCCUUAAUUUUUCGAACACCAAAUUUAGUCAAGUUUGUUAUUAGUUUAAUGUUCAUAAUACUGAAGAUUUUAGGCCUGUCGUAACCUUUGUAACAGCAGGUGAAGUUUGAUCCACGACCCACGUUGAGCUGCUACUUUGUCAGAAAUACAACUAACGAUUAUCUACAUUUUUUGAUCACCGAUAGUGGUUACGAAUACAUUGCGUUUAUGUGAGGGCACCCUUAUUAACGGUGGACCCCUCCACGAACAAUGUAGACUUAUUAACAAAAAUGAUAUCAAAAAGGAAGACCUAAUUUCAUGAUAUCGUACAUAUUAUAUAUAGACUUUUUAGACCUACAAUACACAUUUAAUCUGGAAUGUGAAUGUUUUGGUAUUUGUGUCCUUUUGCUGAUGAUGUUUCACUUUAUCCAGAUGCAUGAGUAGUUGUGAGUCUAAUCUCCUGCCACUUCUCCCAAACCCCAUUCUUUGCCAUAUGUUAUUUUCAUACUUGUAUUAGCUUUUAUAUUUGCACUUUUUUUAUACACAAAUGUGAUAUUUUCUAAGUAUAUAGAAAUGUUUCCAGUGCAACUGUAACUCUUUUUAUUUACUUACUAUGAAGGCACAUUUAGAAGUAAUUCAUUAUAAUGUCCAUAUAUCUCUUGUCUUGAAUAGACCAGUGUUUGUAUCAGUGUUAAAUAAAAAAAAAGAUUAACUCAAAAGAAAAUAAAGGCCAGUUUUUCACCAAAUGUAAUAAUUGUGGCCAUAAUCAUUGUGUAUUACAAAUAUUGCCGUAAAUUAGGAGAUUCAUUUUAAUGAAUCCCAAUAGGGACGCUUAAUUUGCAGGUUGAAUCGGUUUGGUUGAUCUUCUCUCCGUCCAAGUCUUGAGUCCCUCCGUCCCAAGGUGAAGGAAUGUUGAUGCCAACAAGCGCCACUGUUAUGACCUGAUUCACUUAUCACUUGUUGUUUUUUUUCACCCCUUUAAAGUCUUGGAUUCAAGACUUUGCUACCAGGGUAAAAAUACAUCAAGACAAAGAGCCAUUCCCUCCUCCUAAUCUUGCACUCACUGGUGUGUGUGGUUUCACUUUCCUUUGCAGUAAUCCCUGGCUCUGCACUGAGUAGGCCCUCAGCCCUCAAGCUUUGCUAAGGGACCAGAAUUUGUGGUUACUGAGUACCUCAAAUGACCAGAAGCUUUGCGGACCCCAUCCUUCAGGGUUUCUCAAUUAUUACCUGCUCUGCUAUCAUUUUGAUUAAUGUGUAUCUAUGUUUCACUGCUGCUCUAACCUCACCCUCGGCAAUUCCAAUUUUGCUGCUCAUUCUGUUUUUUUUUGCCUCUGCUUAUGUUUGUAGGUGCACUUUUUUUGGGCUGUUACUAACACUUUUUCCACUUGGGCGAAAUUAUAUGCACACUUGUUUAUUGUUGUGUUUGGAUAGUUAUUAACACUUUUUUUUCUUUUAUAAACUGGACCACAGGUGUGACGUGAUCAAUUCAGUUUAACAAUCAUUCAGCAUUGUCAGUGAGCACAACAUAUGGGAUGAUUUAAUCCGUACUGUGUUGCUUGAUGAUCCCAGGGACGUUUUUACUAACUUUGUAUUUCUGAUAAUCAAACCUAGAUACAUUUUCUACCUGAAAUCGGAUACAAUUCAAUAUCUCAAGCUUGACUUGUGUUUUUUUGUGAGAAUUUCUGCUUUCUGCUAACUGCUGGCUUUUUCUUUCUUUAUCUCUAGCUUCUUUUAAUCCGUCUUGACCAACUGAAGAGGGGAUUGCAGCUUCAGCAAGAACUAAGCACCCUUUACCUCUCCCUGUUUUUCUCGCUGUAUCAACCCUUUUCUAAUCUCCCCGUUGCAUCUCCUUUAUUUGAUUACGGCCUUAUGUGGACUCGCAUGGUAUUUCUAAACCCACUGGUGAAGCUCUGAACACAUGCAGGUCGGGAACCCGGCGCAGUUUAAAUCUGCUGUUAUGUCUUAAUGUAUAUAAAGAAAUGCUUGUAAUUAAUAGAAAUCCUCUGUUAGGGUUCACACAUUUCCAGGGUUCAUCAUUAUUUUAAUUACAAUCAUCUGGACUAUGCACUCAUCUUUUCAGUAGGAGUCUUAUUACAUUCUGCUGAAACAUUGAGGCUUGCUGAUUCUCAAUAAGUCAAGAAUAACUUAAUGCACUAUGUAUAACUUGUUAAUGAGUAAUUGUUGUUUUCUCAAGUCCUGUCCAAUAUGAAACCUGCGUCCAGGUAUUUUGAACUCCUGAAAUUUAAUUAAUGCAAAAGUCAAAGCAAUAUUGCUUUUUACUAGUUCAUUUUGUGGUGCCCAUGUUUACAAGUCACUGCUAAAUACCAUGGAGGUCACAUGUAAUGGCCUUUUUAUUACACAUUGUGCUUUAUUAUUCACCAGCCUAUUCUAUAUUUUUUGCAUGCAUCUUUUUAUUUGUUUACCUCUUUGAUGUUUGACCUGCUUGUUUUUUAUCCCCUAAUAAUUCUGUUUCGAAAUCUCGUUUAACUUUUAAAAUGCUUUUUAAAACUUUGAAAACGCUGUUUUCUUUAAAUUGUGCAUAUUAUACAUGUAUGUUUGCUCUGUCCUCUCAUCACACCUCCCUUUUUUGCCAAAUAUUAGUGUAAGUGGGAGUUGAACUGAAUCCGGGAUAGGAGUAUUAAAAAGAUACUCCUGCAUUUGUAUAAUUUAUAAGGAUAUAUUUUGUGUAUUGAAGUGGAGACUUGUGGUUUAUUGCCUAUGACGUUUGGACGUGAAUUUGAGUGUAAAGUAACAUUUUGGUGUCAGAAAAUGCCAUACAUUUUUCUAGUAUCAGUCAUCACCCCUUGUAGUCAAAGACUCUCCCACACUACAAUGAAUACAUUUGAUUCCUUUGAUGUACAUUUUCAAUAAUAAUAAAAAAAAUGAUCCGAACGUA